rnacentral:rRNA from 1 species
UACGUAGGGCGCAAGCGUUGUCCGGAAUUAUUGGGCGUAAAGAGCUCGUAGGCGGUUUGUCGCGUCUGCUGUGAAAACCUAAGGCUCAACCUUGGGCUUGCAGUGGGUACGGGCAGACUAGAGUGCGGUAGGGGUGACUGGAAUUCCUGGUGUAGCGGUGGAAUGCGUAGAUAUCAGGAGGAACACCGGUGGCGAAGGCGGGGUCUCUGGGCCGGAUACUG